rnacentral:rRNA from 1 species
UGAAUACGAGAUGCUACGGCGUCGAAGCAGUCUAUGUCAUACUUCCAAGAAAAGCUUGCACUGUCAUAAACAAAUAAUGCCUGUACCAUAACCGACACAGGUGGGUAGGUAGGGUAUACUAAGGGGCGCGAGAUAACUCUCUCUAAGGAACUCGGCAAAAUGACUCCGUAACUUCGGGAGAAGGAGUGCCUUAUUUAUAAGGUUGCAAUAACAAGACCCAAGCAACUGUUUAUCAAAAACACAGGUCUCCGCUAAGUCGUAAGACGAUGUAUGGGGGCUGACGCCUGCCCAGUGCCAGAAGGUUAAAGAAGUUGGUUAGCAUUAGCGAAGCUGAUGACUGAAGCCCUGGUGAACGGCGGCCGUAACAAUAACGGUCCUAAGGUAGCGAAAUUCCUUGUCGGGUAAGUUCCGACCCGCACGAAAGGCGUAAUGAUUUGGGUACUGUCUCAGAGAGGGACUCGGUGAAAUAGACUUGUCUGUGAAGAUGCGGACUACCUGCACCUGGACAGAAAGACCCUAUGAAGCUUUACUGUAACCUGAAAUUGAAAUUGGACUUUAUUUGCGCAGUAUAGGUGGGAGGCUUUGAAGAUAUUCUUGCGGGAAUGUUGGAGCCAUCAGUGAGAUACCACUCUUGUAAUGUUAGAUUUCUAACUUUGUACCAUUAUCUGGUCAAAGAACAGUUUCAGGCGGGCAGUUUGACUGGGGCGGUCGCCUCCUAAACGGUAACGGAGGCGCACAAAGGUUUCCUCUGAACGGGUAGAAAUCGUAUCUAGAGUGUAAAGGCAUAAGGAAGCUUGACUGUGAGACCUACAAGUCGAGCAGGGACGAAAGUCGGUCUUAGUGAUCUGACGGUGCUGAGUGGAAAGGCCGUCACUCAACGGAUAAAAGUUACUCUAAGGAUAACAGGCUGAUCUCCCCCAAGAGUUCACAUCGACGGGGAGGUUUGGCACCUCGAUGUCGGCUCAUCGCAUCCUGGGGCGGUAGUACGUCCCAAGGGUUGGGCUGUUCGCCCAUGAAAGCGGUACGCGAGCUGGGUUCAGAACGUCGUGAGACAGUUCGGUCCAUAUCCGGUGUAGGCGUUAGAAUAUUGAGAGGAGCCUUCUCUAGUACGAGAGGACCGAGAAGGACACACCUCUGGUGUACCAGUUAUCGUGCCAACGGUAAACGCUGGGUAGCUAUGUGUGGAGCGGAUAACCGCUGAAAGCAUCUAAGUGGGAAGCCCACCUCAAGAUAAGUAUUCUCAUC